UCACAUUCCCAGCAGCAACAGCUGAACUUCCCUGAUUCCCUCUAGUGGCUGCAGUCAGUUGGGCAGGUGAAGGGUUAAGAUGAGAGUUGGGUUCAGGUGUCUCGUUACCUGCAGGAUCCUGAGCAGUGGAUUCCCCGGCCUGUGAAACCUCAGCAGCCCCAGAUCUGACAGUUUGGGACAAAAUAGCAGCUUCUCCCUUUCCAGCUGGACUUUUCCCUGCAGCACAGUCUUCAAGGGGUGUUUCUGGCACCACAUAUUCAUCACCCCCAGUCUGACUUAUUUGGCUGCCAGAAGAGAUGUUUACAGGGGAUGAUGGGAGUUGUAGUUCAUGCACAGACACGCCUCCACCCUGUGGUUCCCCAUGACAUGUGCCUUUAGCAUCCAGUCUGGCUUCAGCCCUCACUGUAACACCAGAAGGUGAAGCCCCCAGAGAUGCAGAGUGCUGGUGUUUUCUGCUUUUGGGAAGAGGGGAUUUAGUACUCACCGCACCAGAACGCAAGGUACGAGUUUCCUCCUCAGCUGCUCCCGGGGAGACCAGAUAGCAACCCAUAAAGACGUUGAAGCUGAUAAAUCUGUUCUGCGCUGAACCCCCACAACUUCAGCGGCGACAACAUCCGGCAGAAUUUGGAAACGAGGUCAAGAAUCUUUCUAAGAUGGGGCGUAAAGAAUGAAAUGAAUGUUCUGGUUCUCAAUGAAGCAGUUGCUGGGGGAGGGACAAUGCGAUCAUCGGACUCUGAAGGAAGCAGAAAAUGAUUAACUUCUAUGGUCAUUGAGAAGAUACUUCAGGAACGAGAAAUAACAUCCCCUCCCCCAUCCUUCAUAACUACAGAGGGACCCAGGCACGACAGCUGAUAGACAUUCCGAGCAGAAUUCAAAGGAGACAGAGAUGAAUCCACCAAAGGUGAAGAAGAUCUCAACAAAGAAAGUGGAGGACACAUCGGCUCUUCGGUGGGCACGGGUGGUGAACCGCGGAGAAGAGAAAAGGAAUACCGAGAUUAUCAAAGUGUUCCAGAGAUCCGCCAUGAUUGAGUGCUCUGAUAUCAACAGAGACAUCAAGGCCUUGAGGCAAUCCCUGAUAAGGAUCAACACGUCUACUGGUUCCUUUGAGGAACAUCUCAGCCGAGAGAAGUAGAGUCGUGUGGUGUCUAAUCCUCAACCUCAAAAAAUCCAGCAUUUAACAAUGGAGGCAAAGCAAUCUUAGAACCUGAUGAGAACAUGAUGGAACAUAUCUCCCCACCAGCCACAGAUGAACCUUCCAUUGAGUUGGCAUUGGACUCAACAGACCUGCUAGUGAUCCACAUUAUAAUGAAAUGGUUUCCUGUAGAUAUCAACCCUCCUGUUUAUAACAUUGCUUGUAAUUUUAAGGGGGUCCUAAGGUGUUUCUUUUAUCAUGUAUCCCCUCACAAUGUAGAAUUUGAAGAUGUCUUGUUUCCCACUAAAUCAGAUAUUGCCAUCUGGAUUAAAGUUGUAUACAGUGUGUUUACCCUACAUGACGAAAAGUAUGGGGACCCCUGUGUGGUAUCUCCUUCCCAACGUAAGGGUAUUAAUAUGAAACUGCCCCUCCCUUUGCUGCUAUAACUGCCCCUACUCUUCUGUGAAGGUUCCCACUAGAUGUUGGAACAUUGUGGUCUAAAUUGACCACUCCCAUGAUCUGCCCUGACCACACCCAAACGCUUUCUAAAUCCCACCCACUCUUCCAAAUCUGAACUAUUUGUAUCUGGACUUGUCUACUCACAGUACCCCUACCCCUCUGCCCCAAAAUGACAGCCCCGUUGUACAUAAUACACAAAAUCAAUCAAAAUGAGUCAUUAUUUUAGUUAUAU